GUAACAAGGUUUCCGUAGGUGAACCUGCGGAAGGAUCAUUGUCGAGACCAAGAUAGAUUGAGAGAUUCAGAUAACGCAUGAACCAAGUGGUGACAAUCACUGUCACACAGUAAACAUACAACCAUAGCCUUGUAUCCUCAAUGAGACAUGGUGAAGGUUGUAUGAAAACCCGAGCUAGCGCAAUUUCGCGCCAAGGUAAUGUGCAAAACAUGAUUCCCAGCAGGUCUGGUGGCAUGUAUUAUAUGACUCUCGGCAACGGAUAUCUCGGCUCUCGCAUCGAUGAAGAGCGCAGCGAAAUGCGAUAUGUGGUGCGAAUUGCAGAAUCCCGUGAACCAUCAAGUCUUUGAACGCAAGUUGCGCCCGAGGCCAAUCGACCAAGGGCACGUCUACUUGGGCGUCAAGCAUUGUGUCACUUUGUGCCAUCACCAACCACCAUUAGGUGUGUUGGUGCAUGCUCGAAUGUGAAGAGUGGUUCUCCGUUUCCCUAGAUACGAAGGACUGAAGAACGGGUUGUUGUCCUCCUAGCCACGAUAGACAAGGGGUGGACGGAAGCCACGAGCACGGCCAAACAGUGUCUCAUGUUGGCCUGAGGAAGACUAGAUCCCAAGUGAACCCAAAACCCAUAUGCCAUACCAUAAGCAUUGGCUUGGAAUGCGACCCCAGGAUGGGCGGGGCUACCCGCUGAGUUUAAGCAUAC
rnacentral:rRNA from 1 species